ACGUCGUCAUGGGAACGUUUCUGGGUGCAUUGAUUCUCAUUUUUCAAAGUGAAAUGCCAGCCAGAAUCGCCUGGGCGACCCAGGACAAGAUGGUUGGAUGUUGACCAGGAUACGGCAAAGGUUGGAGUGCAGGGAUGCAUUGAACAGAGAUGCUUGGAGAAGAUUGAGCGAGGCUGUGACCCGUACUGGGUUGUAAAACCAAAUAAGAAGAUUGAUAAUGCAAAUACCUGUAGCUUUGAGCGUGCUUCUCUCACAUAACUAUCACUGCGAAACCUGCGAAACAUCUUCUGUGGAAAUGAAUCUGAAAGCUGCACUGAAUUCGUCUAACAUCCUGAAUGUGUGAUUAUGGAUCUGGAAAAGCAUCAGAGGUUCACCGCUUAACAAGCUGGAUAAUAGAAGACGCCACAUAUUCCAAGAGAUGUGACUCUGCCUCCGAGGACACUGGAUCUGCGGGCUGCUCCUCGCCCCCCUCGACGUUGAUAUAUGCUAUCCCUGGGUUCAGAAGUGCAUCGAUCUGAGUGGAUGACAGAGGUUGCAGACUUUGUGGAUCGAAAACUAUUGACCCAAUACUUCCGGGUUCCCUUUCUCGUGGUGUAGUGACACCUACCAUUGUGGGAUUUGAUGUGCUGGGAGUCGACAAAGUGGGGUCUGGAUGACCACCGUACAUAUAAAAAACUUCAGAGUUUGCGGGAGUGUGGUUCAUGUUACUAAUGUGUGUUGAGUGCAAUUUUAAAAAAGUGAUAAAUACUAUGCAACGAGGGCUUUACGAGGGUCACAAGGAGGGAUGUACAGACAAUAGCUAUGUGCAGUGUGUUUCCUGCUACAAACUCUACCAGGUAUUAAUUACUUAAGCUCUUAUAAUAUAUUAAUAUUGUUCAUGUGUUGGAUUGUCGAUUUCUGACUAGCUUACAGACUGUAGCUUAUAUUAUACUCCAACUGGCUUAUAUUUAAAAUAUUAGUGACUAGACAAAUUUCAUCAGUUUAGGCCCAUAAAAAUAUCCAGAAUACAGUUUCAACAAUAAUAAUAAAAAUUUAUAAAAAAUAAUUUCUUCCUUGCUUAAAGCUAUUGAUUCCCAAAAAUAGUUUUUCAUACUUGCUUGCAUUCCCCAGUAAGUUCUUACUAUCUAUCAUCCAUUCACGACAAAUCUCAUUAACUCGUCUCUCAUUGACUUGUCUAUAAUUAUUAUCAGUGAUAUAUAGUCUUGAUUUACUCUCAAUAAUGAUUUUAUUAGCUCUGUUCUCAUCACCAGCCCCACAUUGGGCGCCAUGUUUAUGUAACAUUAUUUUUGUGAAUAACGGUUUGCCUGGCUUGGCUGCAGUCGGUAAAGCAUGAGUAAAAAAUUAUAUGACUCUGGUUGUGGUUCUUAGAAUAUAAACUAGACCAAAUUCUUAUGGACUCGCCCAGGAGCUCCUGCAAUUCUCUGCUCUGGGACAAUUCGGACAACAAAAAUUUCAAUUCUUAUAACUUGUAAUGUCAUUCAUAUUGUGGUGAUCCUGUCCCUCAUUGAAGCGUCAUGUGUGGCAGACCUAGCUCCAGGGAGGGCAUGGACCACACAAAAAAUAGAUAAUCUUAUGAAAGUGCUCACUUUUAUGGGUACAUGAAUAUAUGCCCCUCUGUGUAAUAUCAGACCUGAGAAUUUAUUUAAUUGGUUGAGAAAUCUGUAGUUUAUCCCAGAUGUAGGAUUGGAGUGUUCCAAUAAUAUUGAGCUUAAAUAAAGCGAUCUUAAAAUUAUUACCUUGUUGUUGUUCUGAUAAAGAGCCAAUGCAACCCGAACAAAGAUAUAGAUCACAAAUCCAUGUAUGAUUGUGCCUCUUACCGCUAUCAGAAUUGAUGAUGAAUACUUCAUGAAAUAAAUAUAAUUUCCGAAAAGAGGUUCGAGUACAGAAUCUAAUCCUAUCAGUGUUGGAUUACAUUGACUUAAAUCCUGCAAAAUGCCACAUACACUGUUUAAUUUAGUCUGGAAAUUAUAAGCUAAGCCGCCGAUGGUGACCAAUGUAAAAGCAAAUGUAAGCAGAAUUAUAUUUAUUAAUCCCGCAGUGAUCCACUGAUACAUUAGCAACCAUCCACAACCUUCCACUCAAUUAAUUUCCCGACUUGUUACACUGACCAUAUGAGGUCUAUCACAAUACCAAUGGUAACGUGUCAAAGACAAUAUCAAGGUUUUCAGAAAAGAAACAAACUGGAAGAUAUUCUCAGUUAUUUCAAUAUAUUGACAGUUUUCAAGAUAAGCAGAUAGUAAAUAAUAAUUCUUUAAGUUAAUGGUGAUGAUCAGUAUAACGUGUUCUGGUUUAACAAUACCAGACAUGUACAGAUUACAAUUUAAUAAUUAUUCAAGAAUUGAAAGAAGAUGUAUGUUAAAAUAAUAAUUACAGGGUUGUGAGUUCUGCUUUGGAAUAGCUUGAUUGAUAGACAGAUUAUUAUAAAUUAAUCUUAUUUAAUGAUGAUUAUUAUAAUGUGGAUUAACGUUGGAUUUCCCCUGAUUACAAUCUGGCCAUGACCAUUAAUUUUCAAUAGAAUUUAUAGCACUCAUGAAUCGUGGAUGGGGCCCCAAUAUAUUUACUAGAAGAACACUCAUGCAACUAUGUUUUUCUUUUUCCUUGGUUCGCAAAUAAUUAUUCUUCUGCCAUGUGCUGGAUUUUCUGGCCUUCAAGUAGAACGUGUUGCUGGUAUAUUACUCUGCGAUUCAUGUAGAUUUAAUUGGGUAUUUUACGUUAAUCUCUACAAACAAAAAGGAACUUUACAAUAUUAACAUUUAAAUUCACAAAUAAACAGUUAAAAAUAAUUCACAUGAAAUUUUUCAACAAGAAUGUAAGUUUACUCAAAACGUGUGACUAGGGCAAGGUCAGUGCUAGAACAGCCUGAAUCUUCUUCCUCCAAAUUCAAUUCACAAUUCUAGGAAUCUCUUUGUUUCUAAUUUGCAUAAGACAAUUGCUAUUGGUUGUAGCUGAGUGACGUAAUGCACACAUCAUAUUUUUAUAAAAUGGUUCCUUUGUUUACAUUCA